rnacentral:rRNA from 1 species
UUAGUGGCGGACGGGUGAGUAACGCGUGGGUAACCUGCCGUAUACAGGGGGAUAACACGUUAGAAAUAGGUGCUAAAACCGCAUAAGCGCACAGCGCCGCAUGGCGCAGUGUGAAAAACUCCGGUGGUAUACGAUGGACCCGCGUCUGAUUAGCCAGUUGGCAGGGUAACGGCCUACCAAAGCGACGAUCAGUAGCCGGCCUGAGAGGGUGGACGGCCACAUUGGGACUGAGACACGGCCCAAACUCCUACGGGAGGCAGCAG